rnacentral:rRNA from 1 species
UACGUAGGGUGCAAGCGUUAAUCGGAAUUACUGGGCGUAAAGCGUGCGCAGGCGGUUGGUCCAGACAGAUGUGAAAUCCCCGGGCUCAACCUGGGAAUUGCAUUUGUGACUGCACGGCUAGAGUGUGUCAGAGGGGGGUAGAAUUCCACGUGUAGCAGUGAAAUGCGUAGAGAUGUGGAGGAAUACCGAUGGCGAAGGCAGCCCCCUGGGAUAACACUGACGCUCAUGCACGAAAGCGUGGGGAGCAAACAGG